GUCGGAACUCGCAUUCUUUGGCUGCUGCUUCUUCUACUGGUCAGAAGCAUCUCAACGGAGAUGCUCCAGGCAUCCAUCCGCCAUGGCUACUUCUCCUGGGAACUGAACACAUGUGACUCUGCUAGCUGGUUUCUUCUUUGCUGGCAAAAUCUCCAGAUGAUCAGUACUUGUCAGCUCUCUCUGCCUAUCUGAAAACAUCAACAUAAAGGACAGAGGUCACCGUGGUUUGAGUGAAAUCGGAGGGAUGCAGCAUAACAGAAGUGCCACCAGGUUCCAGAUGCCAUCAGGACGCCAGCCAGGCUUCCCUGGACUGAAGACCCCAUCAAUAUGUCCUGGAGCUCCGCUUCCCCAAAGACCCACCCUACUAGGGAAAGAGAGAGGCAGACUGGGAGUAUGGACCGACCAGUCAACGUCCAUGUUCAGCGGGGAAGCAAUUACAGAAGCCAGACCUUCUACCUUCUGCAACCCACAAUGACCCUGGGUCCAUGCUCCCAGAGGGAUAGAGAAUGGGAAAGCUAUC